rnacentral:rRNA from 1 species
CCUACGGGAGGCUGCAGUGAGGAAUAUUGGUCAAUGGGCGAGAGCCUGAACCAGCCAAGUCGCGUGAAGGAUGACGGCCCUACGGGUUGUAAACUUCUUUUGUCAGGGAGCAAUUGGGUCCACGCGUGGGCUUAGCGAGAGUACCUGAAGAAAAAGCAUCGGCUAACUCCGUGCCAGCAGCCGCGGUAAUACGUAGGGUGCGAGCGUUACUCGGAAUUACUGGGCGUAAAGGGUGUGCAGGCGGUUUUGCAUGAUGGAUGUGAAAGCCCCGGGCUUAACCUGGGAAAGCCAUACAUGACUGCAAGACUAGAGUGCGUCAGAGGGGGGUGGAAUUCCAAGUGUAGCAGUGAAAUGCGUAGAUAGUUGGAAGAACACCGAUGGCGAAGGCAGCCCCCUGGGACGCAACUGACGCUCAUACACGAAAGCGUGGGGAGCAAACAGGAUUAGAUACCCCGGUAGUC